UACAGAGGCCCCAAGCGUUAGGCGGAAUCACUGGGCUUAAAGCGUGUGCAGGCGGCCCGUCAAGUGCCUUGUGAAAGCCCACGGCUCAACCGUGGAACUGCUUGGCAGACUGGCGGGCUUGAAUCAUCCAGGGGCGAGUGGAACUCACGGUGGAGCGGUUAAAUGCAUAGAUAUCGUGAGGAACGCCAGAGGCGAAAGCGACUCGCUGGGGAUGUAUUGACGCUCAGACACGAAAGCUAGGGCAGCGAACGGG
rnacentral:misc_RNA from 1 species